CCUACGGGUGGCAGCAGUCGAGAAUCAUUCACAAUGGGGGAAACCCUGAUGGUGCGACGCCGCGUGGGGGAAUGAAGGUCUUCGGAUUGUAAACCCCUGUCAUGUGGGAGCAAAUUAAAAAGAUAGUACCACAAGAGGAAGAGACGGCUAACUCUGUGCCAGCAGCCGCGGUAAUACAGAGGGCUCAAGCGUUGUUCGGAAUCACUGGGCGUAAAGCGUGCGUAGGCUGUUUCGUAAGUCGUGUGUGAAAGGCGCGGACUCAACCCGCGGACGGCACAUGAUACUGAGAGAAUAGAGUAAUGGAGGGGGAACCGGAAUGCUCGGUGUAGCAGUGAAAUGCGUAGAUAUCGAGAGGAACACUCGUGGCGAAGGCGGGUUCCUGGACAUUAACUGACGCUGAGGCACGAAGGCCAGGGGAGCGAAAGGGAUUAGAUACCCCAGUAGUC
rnacentral:rRNA from 1 species